GGAAACACCGCAGCUGCCUGUUCUCACGACCCAGGUCACCUGUGGGCAGGGGCUCCCUGCACCCCUCCGUAUUUAUGUCCCGGGAGGGCAGCCCAGAGAGCCAAGGUGGCAGGGCCCCCGUGUCCCUCAGGCUGGCUUGAGUACCCAGCCUUGCAACCCCUGUUUCCAGGGAGAGGAACUAAACCUUUUAUUCUUGUGAUUUCCCAGGUUCAGGGAGGGGAGCCUCUGGAGUAGAGCUGGAAUGUGAACGUGGUGCAGCAUCCAGAACAUCCUAAGUGUUGACCCGCACGGAAGCUUCAUCUUGGUUGAGCCUUUAAAGCGCCUGCAUGGAGUGGGUAAAGGACAGCAUCAAAGGCCCUCGGGUAAGAGAUGCUCUCAGGAGGCUGCAGGAAAUACCACGGCCAAAGCGAGGUGGCGCAGGAGGGCGGCUCUGCAGGAUGUGCAAACAGCGCCGCUGGUGGAGAAGACCAGGGUAGAUGGCUGGGACCCGUGCUCUGACCCCGGUGAGAAUGUGCGGCCUGCAGGCUCCAAUCCCAGGGGCCAGCCAGGCCUGGGUUCCGAACCCGAGUGCGGCUGCCACAGGCAGGAUUCCCGCCCAGGAUCCGGGACCCGCAGCUCAGUCACCCACACCUGCGCGGCCACGGAACCUGCAGCCCAGAACAUUGUUCCUUCUCCACGAAAGCUUUCUGCUUUGGUGCAGGGUCACCGACACGGUGGAUGUACAGAGGACAGAAUGAGACGUCUGUGCUGCUUGGAAAACGUGAGGGCUGAUUCCAAAGCUGAGGUAGUACUUACCAUCGUGGGAUGGCCCACAAACGCUGACAGCGGUAGCAGGGUCUCAGUGUGACAUGCGGGACGUCACCCGUCAGUAUUUUAGCCUCUGUUUGCCCUCCCAGGACAUAGACACUUCUUACUCCACUGGCUUAUAAAGAUUGAGGAAGUGUAAUCAUUUACAAACAAAACAAAGUCUAAGCUAAUUAAAACAUUUAUUUUGAGGGGC